GUUUUUCUCACCAAUUUUUUACACUACUAUAUUUAUGAACACAAAAACAAGUCUCUGCUCACUUUCUUCUAUUAUUGCAAUCUUCUAUUAUAGCUAGAGAAGGCAGUGGAGAUAUAACAAAUAAAGCAAUAGUUUUUUUUCUCUAAAAAAUACAUUAUAGAACUUGAAUUUGGUAAAAAAAUUGAUUAAAAUUUUAACAUGAUCUAACCCAAAAUAUAAAACAAUAAAAAACUAAAAAAUAUUAAUAAGAACGAGAAAAAGAAAAUUAAUUCACUAUAUUCUUUUUUGACGUUUCAUCAAAACAACCAAUGAAAAUAAAAACGAAAAAAAUAUCAUGGAUAGUUUUUUUCUUUUGUGGUUACCAAGCUCAAAUUUAAAAUAUUCACAUGAUAACUAAAGAAAAACACAACAGUAAUUAUUACAUAAUC
rnacentral:lncRNA from 1 species